UCACUUUAGGAUGAGCCCGCGGCGCAUUAGCUAGUUGGUGGGGUAAAGGCCUACCAAGGCAAUGAUGCGUAGCCGAGUUGAGAGACUGAUCGGCCAUAUUGGGACUGAGACACGGCCCAAACUCCUACGGGAGGCAGCAGUAGGGAAUCUUCCACAAUGGACGCAAGUCUGAUGGAGCAACGCCGCGUGAGUGAAGAAGGUCUUCGGAUCGUAAAGCUCUGUUGUUGGUGAAGAAGGAUAGAGGCAGUAACUGGUCUUUAUUUGACGGUAAUCAACCAGAAAGUCACGGCUAACUACGUGCCAGCAGCCGCGGUAAUACGUAGGUGGCAAGCGUUGUCCGGAUUUAUUGGGCGUAAAGCGAGCGCAGGCGGAAUGAUAAGUCUGAUGUGAAAGCCCACGGCUCAACCGUGGAACUGCAUCGGAAACUGUCAUUCUUGAGUGCAGAAGAGGAGAGUGGAACUCCAUGUGUAGCGGUGGAAUGCGUAGAUAU
rnacentral:rRNA from 1 species